rnacentral:rRNA from 1 species
UACGUAGGGUGCGAGCGUUUGUCCGGAAUUAUUGGGCGUAAAGAGCGCGUAGGCGGUCCGGUAAGUCGGCUGUGAAAGUCAAGGGCUCAACCCUUGAAAGCCGGCCGAUACUGUCGGACUAGAGUCCGGAAGAGGCGAGUGGAAUUCCCGGUGUAGCGGUGAAAAUGCGCAGAUAUCGGGAGGAACACCAAUGGCGAAGGCACUCGCUGGGACGGUACUGACGCUGA